rnacentral:rRNA from 1 species
UACAGAGGGUGCAAGCGUUGUUCGGAAUUACUGGGCGUAAAGCGUGCGUAGUCGGUAUUGAGAGUCGCGGGUGAAAUCCCCAAGCUUAACUUGGGAACUGCCUGCGAGACCUCAGUACUAGAGUGUGAGAGGGGAUAGUGGAAUACCCAGUGUAGCGGUGAAAUGCGUAGAGAUUGGGUGGAACACCGAUGGCGAAGGCGGCUAUCUGGCUCACAACUGACGAUCAGGCACGAAAGCGUGGGGAGCAAACAGG